rnacentral:ncRNA from 1 species
CAAAGGCUUGGUCCUGACUUUACUAUCAGCUUUAACCCCAUUUAUACAUGCAAGUAUCCGCACACCCGUGAGAAUGCCCUCAAUUUCCUGCCCGGAAACGAGGAGCAGGCAUCAGGCACCUUAAUACACGCCCAAAACGCCUUGCUACGCCACACCCCCAAGGGAGUUCAGCAGUAAUAAACAUUAAGCCAUGAGCGAAAGCUCGACUUAGUUAGGGUUAAUUAGGGCCGGUAAAACUCGUGCCAGCCACCGCGGUUAUACGAGAGACCCAAGUAGAUAGCUACGGCGUAAAGAGUGGUUAAGGAAUAUAGUUAAAUAGAGCCGAACAUCCUCUAAGCUGUUAUACGCUUUUCGAAGAUACGAAGCCCCCUCACGAAAGUAGCUCUACUUCAAACAACCUGAACCCACGAAAACUAAGAAACAAACUGGGAUUAGAUACCCCACUAUGCUUAGCCGUAAACAUAGAUGUUAGCCUACAGCCAACAUCCGCCCGGGUACUACAAGCGCCAGCUUAAAACCCAAAGGACUUGGCGGUGCUUCAGACCCACCUAGAGGAGCCUGUUCUAGAACUGAUAAUCCCCGUUAAACCUCACCACCCCUAGCCUUUUCCGCCUAUAUACCGCCGUCGUCAGCUUACCCCGUGAGGGAAAAACAGUGAGCACAAUGAGUAAACCCCAAAACGUCAGGUCGAGGUGUAGCGAAUGAGGUGGGAAGAAAUGGGCUACAUUUUUUAACAAUAAAAUAUUACGAACAGCGAACUGAAAUUAAACGCUUGAAGGUGGAUUUAGUAGUAAAAAGAAAAUAGAGAGUCCUUUUGAACCAGGCUCUGAAGCGCGCACACACCGCCCGUCACCCUCCCCUUUUAAUAAUACUCUUAAGUAAUUUAACACCCCUAACCAAAAUACGGGGAGGCAAGUCGUAACAUGGUAAGUGUACCGGAAGGUGCACUUGGAAGAAU